rnacentral:rRNA from 1 species
UGUCGGCUGGCUCACGUAGUCAGCUUAAGGUACGUGCCGUUCCUGCCCGAAAGGGCAGCCACUAGCAAUAGCGCCCAUCCCGCGAAGGCUAGUCGGAUUAAACUCAAGAGGCCAGCAGCCGCGGUAAUUCCAGCUCCAAUAGCGUAUAUUAAAGUUGUUGCAGUUAAAAAGCUCGUAGUUGAACCUUGGGCCUGGCUGGCCGGUCCGCCUCACCGCGUGUACUGGUCCGGCCGGGCCUUUCCUUCUGGUGAGCCUCAUGCCCUUCACUGGGUGUGUUGGGGAACCAGGACUUUUACUGUGAACAAAUUAGAGUGUUCAAAGCAGGCCUUUGCUCGAAUACAUUAGCAUGGAAUAAUAGAAUAGGACGUGCGGUCCUAUUUUGUUGGUUUCUAGGACCGCCGUAAUGAUUAAUAGGGAUAGUCGGGGGCAUCAGUAUUCAAUUGUCAGAGGUGAAAUUCUUGGAUUUAUUGAAGACUAACUACUGCGAAAGCAUUUGCCAAGGAUGUUUUCAUUAAUCAGUGAACGAAAGUUAGGGGAUCGAAGACGAUCAGAUACCGUCGUAGUCUUAACCGUAAACUAUGCCGACUAGGGAUCGGGCGAUGUUUCUAUCUUGACUCGCUCGGCACCUUACGAG